GAAAUGCGAUAAGUAAUGUGAAUUGCAGAAUUCAGUGAAUCAUCGAAUCUUUGAACGCACAUUGCGCCCGCCAGUAUUCUGGCGGGCAUGCCUGUUCGAGCGUCAUUACAACCCUCAGGCCCCCGGGCCUGGCGUUGGGGAUCGGCGGAAGCCCCCUGCGGGCACAACGCCGUCCCCCAAAUACAGUGGCGGUCCCGCCGCAGCUUCCAUUGCGUAGUAGCUAACACCUCGCAACUGGAGAGCAGCGCGGCCACGCCGUAAAACACCCAACUUCUGAAUGUUGACCUCGAAGCAGGUAGGAAUACCCGCUGAACUUAAGC
rnacentral:misc_RNA from 1 species